rnacentral:miRNA from 1 species
UGACUGGGAAGGAAAUGGCC